UCACCUGUACAGGGCAACCAGCUGUGCCGGCAGAGUGCCAGGAGGCAUGAGUGCCAGGAGAGUGCCAGGAGGCACGACCUGCAGUGGGCACCACAUUGGGUUGUGCACGGAGCCAGGCUGGACACAGCCACAGCUGCUGAGCUUCCCCGGGGAAGGGGUGACUCAGCAGGGCCUGUUCUUCCCACCGGCCUGUGUGGUCAGGUGUUCAGGCGUUGAGGUGGCUGAUCUGCCCCACUGAGCUCUGGUGACACGCCCACUGUCGUCAUCCUGGGAGCCCACAGCCUCAACCAGAAGGAAAGGACCCAGCAACAGAUCCGAGUGCAACGCAAGAUUCUCCAUGAGGACUUUGAUGGGACAACCUUGGAAAAUGACAUCAUGCUGCUCCAGCUGGAGCGCGAGCUGAAUGGACCAACGCGAUGAAACCCAUCCCUCUGCCCCCGGCCAACUUCCUGCUGAAGCCAGAGGCCACGUGCAGCAUGGCCGGCUGGGGCCAUACCGGUGCCCACAUGGUGCGUUUUCCCACCAGGCUCCAAGAUGUGACCUUACAGAUGGCUGACAACAAGCAAUUCGGACUCUUCUUCGACUCCUUCAACCGGACGUCCAUGCUCUGCGUGGGGAACAUCAAAACAAAGCAGUCGUCUUUCGUGGUGACGCCCCUACUGUAGUCGGGCUGUCCUGGCUUGUAGACUCCCUUGAGGGUCUCACUUAUUGGAUUUUAUGGAGGUCUCAUUUUCCAGCCAUCCAGAGGCAAAAAUCCUGUGGACAUUAAUAGAGGCUGGGGAAAGGUAGCCUGGAAUCUUAUCAUGAUUGGAGGCAAUAAGGACUCUUCCUCCAGUGGAGGCACCCCCUAUGGAGUCCCCCACCCUGCUCCCCAUGGCAUAGCCCCCACCCCAGUGACCUCCCUCAACCUGCAGCACAGCGCCCCCUAGUGCUGCACUGGGGCCUCGGGUCAGCACUGACUGACAGGGGAGAGCACCCCCUUGUGAGUCAACAUGGUCCCUCAUCCAAACAUGGAACAGAUUAUUUUAAAAUUGACCUGUUACAUCCAGAGAUGGGAGCAGGAUGAAUCAGUGAGUGCCCAGCUCUGACAAAGUGCUGGGUAUGGGUGGGGCUGGCUUAUUGCAUCUUGAAUUCCCCCCAGCCUGCUUUCACUGUAAUGUUCCCUCCUCUUCUCUCCGUAGGGUGACUCCGGGGGCCCGCUGGUGUGCAGUGGGGUCACCCAGGGCAUCGUCUCUCACGGGAAAGACAGUGGCCUCCCGCCCGCCGUAUACAUGCGGAUCUCCGCAUUCAUCCCUUGGCUCGGGAAGAAGAUGGGCAGGGAGUAGGCUGUGCAAAGAGACCAACGGGCUUCCAGCUGCUCUGCCAUUCUGCUGCCUUCGCUACUUCUGGGGCUUUCCUGUCGGAGCGGGGACGCUGCUGCACUCCUCUCGGGGCACCCCUGAGCUAGCCAGUCCUCGCCUCACCCUGGGGUCGGAUGGGAGCCAGCGCCCCCUAAAGGGGACAGGCUCUGUGCUCCAUUCUUCACCCCAGUCCCCCAAGCCAGCCAGUCCCCCCUGGGGCUAGAUCAAAGCUGGUGCCCCCUAGACUUCAUGUCCCCGUUCCCCACCCCUCUGAGCCAGCUAGUCCCUUCCCUGGGGUCGGAUGGGAGCCGGCACACCCUAGAGGGGAAAGGCCCUUUGUCCAAUUCUCUUCUCUUGU